rnacentral:lncRNA from 1 species
AUUUCUAAGGUCCUUUUUAGACGCACAUGUAUCCACGCCAAUAUGUCUGUGUUGAAAUGGACACGCAUAUAUUGAGUUUAGAGCAACUCGAAGGAACUCUUUAUAUUCUGACUAAUUUAUAGGAAUAGAGAUUUCGGUGAAAAAGUAUUCUCCAACAGCUUCUUUAACUUAAUCUCCAAAUAUAAAUAUCUUCUGUUGCAGCCAAAGAUGAAGAGGGAGGAUAGCUCUCUAGAAUGUAUUUUGAAUUCUUUAUACCUUAUCUAAACCUGAGUUCAAGCUAAGAUCACUAACUCAUUGUUAUGCUGAAUAUGUGCAUACUGUUUGAAUUUAUAAGAUAAAAAUUGAUUAGGCGUACCUCUCUUUUUAUAAACCAUGGUAUGCAAAUGGCGCUUCAACCUGUGGGAUUAAAGAAGAAAAUACUGCUUAAUGGUCUUUUCUUUUCUGUUUAUAACAUCUAGCUUUCUGUUUAUAACUCGAGUUGAGGAAGUCAUACUAUAAAAAUCUGAGGACAUGCGGAAUAGAAACACAUUAGAAUAAAGAAGCGACUAACGUUAAUUCAUGAUACUUCAUCUGAAUCUGGUUAAAGCUGUGAAGGUAGAAGUGAUUGUUCAUAGAGUAAAAACUAGAAAUUAAUGAUCUCACAGAGGUUUGCUGUAUUAAUUCAUAAUCCUGUCAUAUUAUCUUGGAUGCUGUUAGGUAUCUUUGAAUAAGAUCCUUUGCAGACUGUACUCAUACUUCCAUCAUAAUGAAAUAUCACAACAUAGGAUUUGUUGUUGUGCAUUGGCUUCUACUCCGUAAGAUCUUAAUAUCAUUUUUUGGUUGCAUGCCUUUUGUGUUAUAUCAUCAUCUUUGUUUGGAUGUGCAUCUAUCUCACUAGCUACUUAAGGGUGUGUUUGGUUUGGCUUUGGCUUUUGCUCCCUAAAAGCCAAACCAAAGGUUGGAUUCAGAAAGCAGCUUUUUCUAAAAGCCGACUUUCUCGCAGUGUAAAACUGAAAGCACAUCUGGACCUGCGUUUUGUGACUUUUAGAUGGAACUGUGAAAAUAUAUAUGGAAGAAUUUUUAGCGGCUUUUAGUGGUUUUCACCAAACGGUUUUUAGAUUUUUAGCAGUUUAUAGUUCACAAUAACUUUUUUCACAGCUCACAGCCCACAACAGCUUUUUUUACAGCCACGCCCCAACCUAACAAACCCUAAUACCUGUUUGGCUGUCCCAAAUUUUCUCCAUUUAGCCUUUGAUUAUGGGUUUAUUAUUUUUGUUAACGAUGAACCAUGAAUUUCUUGCUAUAAUAGAAAACAGAAAACUGCAAUGUGAAGUACAGCGGGUCGAUGUCUUCAAAGAGCAAUCCUGUUCUUUUGUCCUUAACCGUUUGGUUAAUUACAUCAAGUGUCCCUGAAUAUACAAGUGUCCCCUGAAUAUACAUCACGUACCUAACACCACUCUACUGCCACCCCCCCUCUCCCCUUGCAAAUUCACAGUAUUUUAGGCCUCAUCACUCAUCAGUCGUAGCUUGUUGUCACAGUGCAGAUUUCAGUAUGUCUUUCAAGAUUCAGCUAUUGUCCUCCAUUGCCAUUUUUGCUUUUGCCUUGCAUCUUCACCCUUGUGUGUCCACUGAGUUUCGCCGUGAGCUCUCCAGCUGGACCACUGGCAUAGCUACGUGGUAUGGCGAUGCUAAUGGCGCCGGAAGUGAAGGUAAUAGUUACAUAAUCCAUUGUCUCAACGGUCACCAAUAAUAGCUCACCUAAAACUGGCGUGUCCCUUGAAUAGUUAAUUUCUAAUGAAUGCAUGUCUCAAUUACACCCUUUGUAGGUGGUGCAUGUGGGUACCAAUAUGCUGUUGACCAACCACCGUUCUCGUCCUUGAUUGCUGCCGGCAGCCCCUUCAUCUAUGACUCUGGCAAUGGAUGUGGCUCUUGCUAUCAGGUGUGUGCACCACUUUGUGAUUGAGGCUAUUGCAUUCACCAUUCAGGCAUGGCUGCUGCUAUUUGACAUUUAGAAAUGCUGAUUCAUCAGGUGGUAUGCUCUAGCAAUCAAGCUUGCUCUGGUUACCCGGUGACUGUUGUCAUCACCGACCAGGGCCCUGGUGGUGGCCCAUGCCUGAGCCAAGCAAGCGAUGGCAUGUGCAUGAAUGAGGGAGCCCACUUUGACAUGAGUGGAACUGCAUUUGGCGCCAUGGCAAAGCCCGGAAUGGCCGAUCAACUCCGUGCUGCUGGCCUGCUACAAAUCCAAUACACUCGGUAUGUACAGUGCUUCAUGGACAUAGCUGCACUGCACCAAAAUGGCUGCUUGCAAGCAACUAUGAACUACCCCAUGUCUUCUAACCUAUUUACGCUGACUUUUGUCACGAUGCAUGCAUUUUAUGGAUAUGCAGUGUGCAGUGUGAAUGGCCUGGAGUUGAUGUAACCUUCUCUGUUGACUCCGGCUCGAACCCGAACUAUCUGGCUGUGCUCAUCGAGUACGAGGACUGCGAGAGCGAUCUUUCAGCCGUCGACAUCAUGCAGAGCUCAGCAGGGCAAUGGGUGCCGAUGCAGCAUUCGUGGGGUGCAAUCUGGAGGCUCGACUCUGGCUCUGCUCUUCAGGGCCCGUUCCACCUCCGCUUGACGUUCAGCUCAGGCCGGGUACUCAUAGCCAGCAAUGCCAUACCUGCAGGAUGGAAUGCGGGUGUGGCGUACCGGGCAGGCGGAGUGGCGGUGACUAGGGCCAGGCCCAGGAGUGGUGGCAGCCAGGCCGGUGAGGCUGCUGCUGGAACAUUUAGAGGUUUGGUGUAUCACCUUCUGAUGUUUGUGGUAUUGGCGUUGUGAAUUAUGAUGCAAAUGCAUCUUUGGUAGUUUAGAGGUGUAAAUUUAACAAAUUUAGGACUACCCAGGGAUUUUAGAUGUGCAUUUUGAUGUUUUCUUGUAGCUGAGGUCUGAGAGGGGGGAGUGAUGUUAACGUUUUUGUUGUGGUUGAGUUAUCAGCAUGCAACUGAUCAGGUUGGAUGGUAGUCCUUGCAUGUAAAUACACAUUUGGUGAAACUGUUUAGGUUAAGUCUUUAGUUCCUUUAUGGAAGAGAUGUCUUCUUUCUAGCUUUUUAUUUGAUUUCGAGGUGUUUUUCAUGGAUCGAAUACCACUAGUCAUUGAGUUAGUAAACAAAUUGUUUUUCUGACAGUAUUGAGUUGAAAUUUGUUGUUUCGAGUUAAAAGAUUGAGUUUGUAAAUUACAUGAGUCUUUAAACAAAUGCUUUGAAGUACAAAGUGAGAAUCCUACUUUUCAAUUUUUCAUCUGGAGAGUCUUAAUCUCAGGUUUCGUAGUAGUUUUUUGUUACUGUACUGUAGCGCAGUGCAGUGAGAAGCGUAACUACAUAUCUGAUCUCUGUAGUCUAAUUCAGGACCAACGAGUUUGGCUAAACUUUCAUCAUUGGGCAACUCCCCGUACCAAACUGUAGUAUGCACAGAGCACUGCUGAAUUUCACGCUACGAUUUUUGGCUCCUAUAGGCGACAGAAUACUUUCAAGACCAUGAGAUGCUUGAUUUCCUGUUAUUCCCUCCUAAGGACAGACUAGCCGGGUCGAGAGAAUGUUAAAUAAAAAGUGACACAAAAUGGGACAUGUUUGUAUGAUGACCUCGCUAACCUGACUAGGCUCAGUCAACCACAACCCUUCAAAACUGAGUACUUGAGGUUGCUGCCUGGGCUUGGCAAAUUUGUUCGGUCAACAACCAAACAGACUCAUAAGCGAAGAACAUGCAUGAUUAGUUGCCUAAAAUAGCUAUUCUGUUGCUCCAAAUUAUCUCUCACUUUAGUUUUGUACUAAGUAAAGUUUCUCUAAUUUUGACCAAGUUUAUAGAAAUAAAGAUAUUAACAUAUGCAGAUUUAAACCUAAUCGCUAGUAAAAUUAGUUAACUAACAAAUAGCUAGUCUAUUCGUUUGGCUUUAAUUCUUAUCGGUUUCUCCUGUUUCUAUAUUGUUUUUGUCUCCAUACAUUGCAGCUGUAGAAGUCUAAACAUGAUACUUUAAUCCGAAACAAACAAUCCUGUUAACUAAUUUGCUAAAAAUAGCUAAUAGCUAAACUAUUAGUUAAGUGUUUAAAUGUCUCUAGCUAAUUUUAGCUGCUAACUGGCUCUAGAGUUUUCAAACACGCCCUAAAAUUGUCGGCCGUGAACAACAAUAAUGUUGCCGACUUGCUGUCCAUUUCUAUCAGCUUAGCUGUCGUGUUGUAAGCUUAGACACAACAUAAGAGAAUCGAUGCUAUUUGUUCUUCCACACUAGUCUCUUCUAGCUACGAUAACCCCAUAAUUCUCCCUCUCAGUUCGGAUGGUGACGUGGCCGCCACGUGGGGUGGCUGAUACUUGACUGACAGUGAUGGGCUGAUGGCAUCCAUCUAGCAAACUGCAAACCAGGUCAUCUCUGAAUUUCCCCAACAAAGAGCGAGCAUAAACCCCGCUAUACCCGCUUCCUUCUCUCCAAUCUCCGGUGCUCGCAUCCCGCUCCGCCUCCAUGCGCCGCGGCAGUUCCACGACGCCAGUCCUCUCACCUCUGUCCUGACCCAACACCCGGGCGGCUGGAACCCGCAGGUGCGCUUAGUGCCGCUCGAGGAGGCUCGCCGUUUGCUGGAUUCGUUCUGUCCUUUGCCGGCCGGCAUUGUGCCCUCCGCGGCGGCGACAGGGGCGUGCGCGGUGCUGCUGUAGGGGAGGGUGACGGCCAUCUCCCUGGUCGGCCGCGGCCCGGGCUGGUGGCGUGCGGUUGCGUCUCGACUCUGCUUUUUACCGUUGCUUGCUACUCUAUCUACCGCCUGUACAGGUCUACUGAAAUUCCACUAUUCUGCCGUUGUAUGCUUUGUGCUGUUGUUGAGCAGAGGAAGACGGAUUCACAAAGCACGGUGCUCCCCAAGUCUAGCAGGUAAGACCGUAAGACCCUCAGCUGUCGUCCUUAUUGGUAGCUUUGUUCAGAGUGGUAAUCAUUUUUAAGAAAAAUGGUACAGUAAUGGAUAAUUUACACUUCAUGUUCCAGUAUUAUACUGUACAUAUUACAAAGGUCUGGUUCUCUUUUUCAGAGGAACCAGAGUUCACUCAGUAUAGGUUAUUUUUUAUCUCGGUAGCUCCAGUCUAUAUUUAAUUACACGUAGAGUAGGUACCAUAGUUAUAUAUAUAUAUAGUCAUAUAUAUAACACUAUAUAUAGAUAUAUACUUAUAUAGUGUAGACUAUAGAGACUUGCAGCAGUAUAAAUAGUCCAAUAUUCAAUCUUGAAUAGUCUAAAACAGCAGUACAUCUAGCUUACUAGACCAUAACAGCAGCAACAAGUUUAUUCAAUACUUGAAUAGUUCAUAACAGCACAGCAGCAACAAAUUUAUAUGAAACUGCAAGUCUAUAACUUACUAGACCAGUAGACCAUGACCAAGAAGGCUUCAGAUGAGGAGCUCAUCUCUAGUCCCUGUGUUCUCUUUUCUCCCAGCCGAUGUAGAGAGAAAGAUGUUGCUAUGUUGGAGCCUUGGAGGGAGAGAGAAGGGUGAAAAAGGGAGAAGGAAGGGAGCUGUGAG